UCCCCGGGACAGCUGGAUUGGCUGCUUGUGUGGGAUCUCCCCCGCUACCCCUUCCCCAAAUCUAAGUUCCCGCGUUCCGCCCCUUUUGCAGACCUUUCCGGUUCUCCAGGUUUUUGUCGUUUUUUUUUUCAUCCCCAGUUAUAACUAACGGAUAAUGAUAAUAAUGGAGACCAUUUAUAGAGCUCUGUAUUGUUCCAGACUGUGUGUUUUGCACAUUAAUUGGCUUACUUAACUUUCGCUAAAACCCUAUAAGGAAGAGCAGCACUCCCUCCUUGGCCCAAUAUUAGUGGCGUCGGAGGCCUCAGCUGCAAAAUCUGGCCCGGCGCCAUUCCAGAAGUUCUCGCGGGAGGGAGAAUCCUCACCAAGGCGGGAACUGGCCGGCCACUGAGAUUCUCUCAGGCAGCUAACGCUGGGCGGCCGCCGCCGCGGGGGCAUGGUUUGUCCUUCCUACGGCUGCGAACCCACCGCGGGUUUGCGUAUUUCCCUUGAUUCCUGGAGGACAGAGCUGGGAUGGACUUGACCCAAGACUCAGGGAUGACGAAACGGAAAUAAACAGAGUUACUCAUAAGGCCAGCCAUCACAGAUUUGCUACAACUGAACUGAGAAACUCGAAGGACACUUCAAAACAGCAGGUUGUGAUACCCGGCCAGAUCCCAUGUCCUCAGAUGUAGCAUGGCCUCAUCGGAGCUCAGAAGUACGAAGAACCAAA